UUUUGAAAUUGUGCUCUUUAUUGAUGACUAUGCAAUACUGAAUCGGCUGUUUCAGCAAUGAGGCUGUGGGACUCGGCUUCCAUGCCAGCGUUACUGUCGUACGUCCCAGAGAAGUAACAUCAAUUCUCGGAUCAUAAGCUCUUUUCCUUCUCAUGUUGCUACCUACUGCCACUUUUGUGCACAAAGGCAGGAUGAGGGCUGAAGAUCCAAAGGUCAUAGCAAUGGGCCUGCUGCAAGACUCAGCUCUGCGCUGAGAUUGGCUUGAGGAGCUUUGAAUCCAGGAGAAAAGCGGGAGCUGGAGGGACAUGGUUAGUGGCCCUGCUUCGGGGAACAUCUGUGGUCGUCUGCGAGGGCUCUGGGAUUGUAGCAGAAAUCACACAAACUGCACAGACCUUCAGCUGAGAGGCCAGACUGGGAUGGAGCUCGCAUAGUUACUUAAUUCACCAGACAGAGUGCUGGCAUUUGCAUUUCUCUUACUCAGAUCCAGCUUUGAUUCAAAACACACAACAAAUAAAGCUGCUGUUUUCCAA